rnacentral:rRNA from 1 species
GCAAGUCGAGGGGCAGCACGAGUACUUGUACUUGGUGGCGACCGGCGCACGGGUGCGUAACGCGUAUGCAACCUACCUUUUACUGGAGGAUAGCCCGGGGAAACUCGGAUUAAUACUCCAUAGUAUUACCAGAUGGCAUCUGACGGUAAUUAAAGAUUUAUUGGUAAAAGAUGGGCAUGCGUAUCAUUAGCUAGUUGGUAAGGUAACGGCUUACCAAGGCUACGAUGAUUAGGGGGCCUGAGAGGGUGAUC